GACGAACGCUGGCGGCGUGCCUAAUACAUGCAAGUCGAGCGGACUAGCGUUUUCUUCGGAAAACGCCGGUUAGCGGCGGACGGGUGAGUAACACGUGGGUAACCUGCCUGUAAGACUGGGAUAACAUUCGGAAACGAAUGCUAAUACCGGAUACGCGAUAUGGUCGCAUGACUGAAUCGGGAAAGAUGGAGCAAUCUAUCACUUAUAGAUGGACCCGCGGCGCAUUAGCUAGUUGGUGAG
rnacentral:rRNA from 1 species